rnacentral:tRNA from 1 species
GGGCCUAUAGCUCAACGGUAGAGCACCCGACUUGCACUCGGGAGGCUGGGGGUUCAAAUCCCCCUGGGUCCA